rnacentral:rRNA from 1 species
UGUGAGCUCGAUGAGUAGGGCGGGACACGUGGUAUCCUGUCUGAAUAUGGGGGGACCAUCCUCCAAGGCUAAAUACUCCUGACUGACCGAUAGUGAACCAGUACCGUGAGGGAAAGGCGAAAAGAACCCCGGCGAGGGGAGUGAAAAAGAACCUGAAACCGUGUACGUACAAGCAGUGGGAGCCUCUUUUAUGGGGUGACUGCGUACCUUUUGUAUAAUGGGUCAGCGACUUAUAUUCUGUAGCAAGGUUAACCGAAUAGGGGAGCCGAAGGGAAACCGAGUCUUAACUGGGCGUUAAGUUGCAGGGUAUAGACCCGAAACCCGGUGAUCUAGCCAUGGGCAGGUUGAAGGUUGGGUAACACUAACUGGAGGACCGAACCGACUAAUGUUGAAAAAUUAGCGGAUGACUUGUGGCUGGGGGUGAAAGGCCAAUCAAACCGGGAGAUAGCUGGUUCUCCCCGAAAGCUAUUUAGGUAGCGCCUCGUGAAUUCAUCUCCGGGGGUAGAGCACUGUUUCGGCAAGGGGGUCAUCCCGACUUACCAACCCGAUGCAAACUGCGAAUACCGGAGAAUGUUAUCACGGGAGACACACGGCGGGUGCUAACGUCCGUCGUGAAGAGGGAAACAACCCAGACCGCCAGCUAAGGUCCCAAAGUCAUGGUUAAGUGGGAAACGAUGUGGGAAGGCCCAGACAGCCAGGAUGUUGGCUUAGAAGCAGCCAUCAUUUAAAGAAAGCGUAAUAGCUCACUGGUCGAGUCGGCCUGCGCGGAAGAUGUAACGGGGCUAAACCAUGCACCGAAGCUGCGGCAGCGACGCUUAUGCGUUGUUGGGUAGGGGAGCGUUCUGUAAGCCUGUGAAGGUGUGCUGUGAGGCAUGCUGGAGGUAUCAGAAGUGCGAAUGCUGACAUAAGUAACGAUAAAGCGGGUGAAAAGCCCGCUCGCCGGAAGACCAAGGGUUCCUGUCCAACGUUAAUCGGGGCAGGGUGAGUCGACCCCUAAGGCGAGGCCGAAAGGCGUAGUCGAUGGGAAACAGGUUAAUAUUCCUGUACUUGGUGUUACUGCGAAGGGGGGACGGAGAAGGCUAUGUUGGCCGGGCGACGGUUGUCCCGGUUUAAGCGUGUAGGCUGGUUUUCCAGGCAAAUCCGGAAAAUCAAGGCUGAGGCGUGAUGACGAGGCACUACGGUGCUGAAGCAACAAAUGCCCUGCUUCCAGGAAAAGCCUCUAAGCAUCAGGUAACAUCAAAUCGUACCCCAAACCGACACAGGUGGUCAGGUAGAGAAUACCAAGGCGCUUGAGAGAACUCGGGUGAAGGAACUAGGCAAAAUGGUGCCGUAACUUCGGGAGAAGGCACGCUGAUAUGUAGGUGAAGUCCCUUGCGGAUGGAGCUGAAAUCAGUCGAAGAUACCAGCUGGCUGCAACUGUUUAUUAAAAACACAGCACUGUGCAAACACGAAAGUGGACGUAUACGGUGUGACGCCUGCCCGGUGCCGGAAGGUUAAUUGAUGGGGUCAGCGCAAGCGAAGCUCUUGAUCGAAGCCCCGGUAAACGGCGGCCGUAACUAUAACGGUCCUAAGGUAGCGAAAUUCCUUGUCGGGUAAGUUCCGACCUGCACGAAUGGCGUAAUGAUGGCCAGGCUGUCUCCACCCGAGACUCAGUGAAAUUGAACUCGCUGUGAAGAUGCAGUGUACCCGCGGCAAGACGGAAAGACCCCGUGAACCUUUACUAUAGCUUGACACUGAACAUUGAGCCUUGAUGUGUAGGAUAGGUGGGAGGCUUUGAAGUGUGGACGCCAGUCUGCAUGGAGCCGACCUUGAAAUACCACCCUUUAAUGUUUGAUGUUCUAACGUGGACCCGUGAUCCGGGUUGCGGACAGUGUCUGGUGGGUAGUUUGACUGGGGCGGUCUCCUCCUAAAGAGUAACGGAGGAGCACGAAGGUUGGCUAAUCCUGGUCGGACAUCAGGAGGUUAGUGCAAUGGCAUAAGCCAGCUUGACUGCGAGCGUGACGGCGCGAGCAGGUGCGAAAGCAGGUCAUAGUGAUCCGGUGGUUCUGAAUGGAAGGGCCAUCGCUCAACGGAUAAAAGGUACUCCGGGGAUAACAGGCUGAUACCGCCCAAGAGUUCAUAUCGACGGCGGUGUUUGGCACCUCGAUGUCGGCUCAUCACAUCCUGGGGCUGAAGUAGGUCCCAAGGGUAUGGCUGUUCGCCAUUUAAAGUGGUACGCGAGCUGGGUUUAGAACGUCGUGAGACAGUUCGGUCCCUAUCUGCCGUGGGCGCUGGAGAACUGAGGGGGGCUGCUCCUAGUACGAGAGGACCGGAGUGGACGCAUCACUGGUGUUCGGGUUGUCAUGCCAAUGGCACUGCCCGGUAGCUAAAUGCGGAAGAGAUAAGUGCUGAAAGCAUCUAAGCACGAAACUUGCCCCGAGAUGAGUUCUCCCUGACUCCUUGAGAGUCCUGAAGGAACGUUGAAGACGACGACGUUGAUAGGCCGGGUGUGUAAGCGCAGCGAUGCGUUGAGCUAACCGGUACUAAUGAACCGUGAGGCUUAACCUU